CAAUAGCAUAUAUGAAUGUUGUUGCAGUUAAAACGCUCGUAGUCGAUAACGUCAGCCAACACCAGUUCAGUCUGGUGAUUGGCAGGACCAAAUAUCAUAGUGCAAAGAGGGCUCCUUGAGUCUUGGUUGGCAGACGAAUCAAUUGGCAUUCAGAUCAAAACGAUUCAGAGUCAUUACCUUGAAUGAAACAGAGUUCUCAAAGCAGUGCUUUUGCACAGUGAAUGAUCAAGCAUGGGAUAAUACAUACCACUAUAUGUGUUGGUACUAUUCACCAAUUCUACAAGUGAUUAAUAGGAACAGUUGAGGGUUCUAGUACUGAAUGGCGAGAGGUGAAAUUCUUAGACCCAUUCAAGACUACCUAAGGCGAAAGCAUUUACCAAGGAUGUUUNCUUUGA
rnacentral:rRNA from 1 species